rnacentral:lncRNA from 1 species
GCUUCUUCAAAUAGUUUGUUUUGCUUCUGUGUCCAAGAGGAGCUUGAAUAACAUGAAGAGGAGAAAGCAUGGGAUGCCAUUACUAUAUUGAUGGGGGAAUGAAAUAAGAACUAUAGAAGCUGGAAUAAUAAGGUCAUAGAAGAGUUGGGUGAAUAUGAAGAAAAAGUAGAUGAAGGUGAGAAGGCGACAGUAUACUGAGUAUUGAAGUUGGAGAUGUAAGAGGAAAAGAACUCACAGAAGGGAAACAAAGAAAAGGAAUAACUGCCUCAGUCAAGGAAAAAG